rnacentral:rRNA from 1 species
AACGAACGCUGGCGGCAGGCCUAACACAUGCAAGUCGAACGGGAUCUUCGGAUCUAGUGGCGGACGGGUGAGUAACGCGUGGGGACGUGCCCUUUGGUUCGGAAUAGCCCCGGGAAACUGGGAGUAAUACCGGAUAAGCUCUACGGAGGAAAGAUUUAUCGCCAAAGGAUCGGCCCGCGUUGGAUUAGGUAGUUGGUGGGGUAAUGGCCUACCAAGCCGACGAUCCAUAGCUGGUUUGAGAGGAUGAUCAGCCACACUGGGACUGAGACACGGCCCAGACUCCUACGGGAGGCAGCAGUGGGGAAUCUUAGACGAUGGGGGGAACCCUGAUCUAGCCAUGCCGCGUGAUCGAUGAAGGCCUUAGGGUUGUAAAGAUCUUUCAGUGGGGAAGAUAAUGACUGUACCCACAGAAGAAGCCCCGGCUAACUCCGUGCCAGCAGCCGCAGUAA